rnacentral:rRNA from 1 species
UAGUCCACGCCGUAAACGAUGAAUACUAGGUGCUGUGGGUAUUGACCCCUACAGUGCCGUAGCUAACGCAUUAAGUAUUCCGCCUGGGAAGUACGGCCGCAAGGCUAAAACUCAAAGGAAUUGACGGGGGCCCGCACAAGCGGUGGAGCAUGUGGUUCAAUUCGACGCAACGCGAAGAACCUUACCCAGAUUUGACAUUGAUGGAACCCUGUAGAGAUACGGGGGUGCCCUUCGGGGCCCAGAAAACAGGUGCUGCAUGGCUGUCGUCAGCUCGUGUCGUGAGACGUUGGGUUAAGUCCCGCAACGAGCGCAACCCUCGCUGUUAGUUGCCAUCGGGUAAUGCCGGGCACUCUAACGGGGACUGCCGGUGUCAAGCCGGAGGAAGGUGGGGAUGACGUCAAGUCCUCAUGGCCUUUAUGUCUGGGGCUACACACGUGCUACAAUGGUCGCUACAGAGCGCAGCGAACCCGCGAGGGGGAGCCAAUCGCAAAAAGCGGCCUCAGUUCGGAUUGG